GUCGAGGGGCAGCGGGGAAGUAGCAAUACUUCCGCCGGCGACCGGCGCACGGGUGAGUAACACGUAUGGAACCUGCCCGUAGCAGGGGGAUAAGCGGAAGAAAUUCCGUCUAAUAUCGCGUAAUAACUCCGAGAGGCAUCUCCUGGGGUUUAAAGGGUAACACCGGCUACGGAUGGCCAUGCGGCGCAUUAGCUAGUUGGCGGGGUAACGGCCCACCAAGGCGACGAUGCGUAGGGGUUCUGAGAGGAAGGUCCCCCACACUGGUACUGAGACACGGACCAGACUCCUACGGGAGGCAGCAGUGAGGAAUAUUGGUCAAUGGGCGCGAGCCUGAACCAGCCAAGUCGCGUGAGGGAAGACGGUCCUAUGGAUUGUAAACCUCUUUUGUCGGGGAGCAAAAGACGCCACGUGUGGCGUUCCGAGAGUACCCGAAGAAAAAGCAUCGGCUAACUCCGUGCCAGCAGCCGCGGUAAUACGGAGGAUGCGAGCGUUAUCCGGAUUUAUUGGGUUUAAAGGGUGCGCAGGCGGAAGAUCAAGUCAGCGGUAAAAUUGAGAGGCUCAACCUCUUCGAGCCGUUGAAACUGGUUUUCUUGAGUGAGCGAGAAGUAUGCGGAAUGCGUGGUGUAGCGGUGAAAUGCAUAGAUAUCAGGAAGAACUCCGAUUGCGAAGGCAGCAUACCGGCGCUCAACUGACGCUUAUGCACGAAAGUGUGGG
rnacentral:rRNA from 1 species